AAAGCGUGCGCAGGCGGUUAUAUAAGACAGAUGUGAAAUCCCCGGGCUCAACCUGGGAACUGCAUUUGUGACUGUAUAGCUAGAGUACGGCAGAGGGGGAUGGAAUUCCGCGUGUAGCAGUGAAAUGCGUAGAUAUGCGGAGGAACACCGAUGGCGAAGGCAAUCCCCUGGACCUGUACUGACGCUCAUGCACGAAAGCGUGGGGAGCAAACAGGAUUAGAUACCCUAGU
rnacentral:rRNA from 1 species